rnacentral:rRNA from 1 species
CUUAAUUGAUUUUAUUUAAAUAAAUUUUUAUAACCGAAAGUAUUUGAUUUUACUUUUAGUUGGACUAGGGUCUAUUAUGGGAUCAGGUAGAUUCUAUUAAAUUAGUUUUACGUUGUGAUAAGUUAUUCGGUUUUACUUAUAUCUGUUUAAUGGCUAAUAUAUUGUUUUAUUUUUGAGGCUAAGAUGUCUAAAAAAUUUAAAUAUCUUUUUUAUUUUGUUUAAAACAAAGGGUUAAAGUUACCCAUUGUUUAUUAUUGUGUUACAACUUUAGGUUUGAUGAUUUGUUUGAUUUUUUUUAUGGGCUGUUAUUAUCAACUUUUAGUACUCUAUUAUGAUUAUAUAAGUAAUUUUAACAUAAUAAUUGGUUCUCAUUAACUGCCUGUCUGUUUAUUAAAAACAUUUCCACACGCAGCAAUGUGUGGUAGUGCCUGCUCUAUGCUUUUGUAAAUGGCCGCAGUAUCUUGACUGUGCGAAGGUAGCAUAAUUAAUUGCCCUAUAAUUGAGGGCUUGUUUGAAUGGUUUGACAAGGUAGUCUAUAACAUUUAUUAUUUUUUUGAAAUUAAUUUGGGGGGCACAGAAUCCCCUUAAUUUAAUUAGACGGAAAGACCCCGGGAUCUUUUAUUUUUGUCUGGGGCAGAUUGUAAUUAUUCAUUUAUAAAUUUGACCCUAAUGGUGCAUUGGUGUAAGUUACCCCGGGGAUAACAGUGUAAUAAUUUAUUAGAGAUCUUAUCGAAUAAAUUGCUUGCCACCUCGAUGUUGACUUAGGUUUAGAGUUAGGCGCAGUAGUUUAACUUUUUGGUCUGUUCGACCGUAGAUUACCUCCAUGAGUUGAGUUAAGACC